CAAAGUAUGCAGUCAUCAGACCCAGGGUUCGAAUCUCAGCUCCCACUGUGUGUCUUUGAGAAGAAACUUGACAUCUCUGAGCCUCCUUGCCCCAAAUGAAAAUGAUGGGUACCCAGAGAACAGCCUUCAGUGGGUAUGCGAUAAUUCGCAUAAAGGGCUCAGGUUACCUAAUAGAUGUAGUUAUUAUUGACUUUGAGACUGUGCGCCUUCUUCUGAGUUGGCUUAUUGUCAUUCUGCACCAGAUAGCACCCAUUGGCCCCAUUCUAAAUUCACAGUCUCUGAACCCAGUGGAAAACUUGUGUGUGUUAGUUGCUCAGUCGUGUCUGACUCUUUGCAACCCCAUGGACUGAAGUCCGCCAGGCUCCUCUGUCCAUGGACUUCUCUAGGCAAGAAUAUUGGAGUAGGUUGCCAUUUCCUUCCCCAGGGGAUCUUCCCAACCCAGGGAUUGAACCCUGGUCUCCUGCACUGCAGGCAGAUUCUUUACCAUCUAAGUCACCAGGGAAGUCCACCUGUGGAGUACUCAGUAUCUGCAUUAACCAUACAAUGCAAUUCCACCCAAGAGACUGAUUCAACCUCCGUUUUCUCCUCCAGCCCCCGCAACAUGGUUAUAGUCGACCUUCCUACCUCCUGCUUGGUGAAACAGCUAUGAUUCUUGAGGCUGGGCUCUCCCAAUUCCUCUGACAGGUGAACAGAAUUCUGUUUCCUCUCUGGUCUUACAGAGAAUGGCUUACAUAUCACACACAUCACAGGAAUGCACCUAGCUCACACCUGUCUCCCUCAGAGCCUCUCCCUCAGGUUCGCAGGGGCCAGCCCAGGACACAACAACAGAGACAAGAUAUGUCUACAGUGACAUUUCUCAACCUCAGCACUGGUGAUAUUUGGGAGCAGAUCAUGCUUUGGCUGUCCUUUUCAUUGCACAAUAUUUAGCAGCAUCCCUGGCCUCACCCACCAGAUACCAGGAGCAUUCCCUCCCCACUGUAAGUUAUGACAAUCAAAACUGCUCCAGAUAUAUCCAAAUAUCCACAAUGAGAGAGAAUGGCCCUGGGCUAAGAACUACUGACCUAAAAGCUACAAAGGGCACCCAGGCUAAAUGAAAAUCAGGGACCCAGAGUGGACAAACUGAGAAGACCACCAGAAACAUUCCAAAACUAAGAUCCUCUUGUAUUAUCCAUCUCUCCAGCACUGACCUCAUCUUCAGGCUGAACAGCGCUACCCACAAUUGAAUUAUCCUUCCCUCCUACCCUUUCCCUGCUGGUCCUCCUCUGCUGGAGUUGCCUCUUCCAAGAAACACCCAGCAAGGAAGGGUAGAAGAAGUUCUGCUUGUUGCUGUCAGCGGCAUCCACAGGCAGGUGUGGGGUCAGACCUAAGGGUUCCUGCACCUGAUACAGUGUGCUUUAUCCCUGCUGAAGGCUGCCAAGCAGGCUGUCCCCAAGAGCCUUGCAUGAAACCAGUCUGAAUGGGCAGUCCUCGGGGUCUGAGGGGCUGGGAGGGACCUCAGGAGGCCUUCUGGGAUCUGCCAUCUAUCUCCUCCUUCAACUAUCCACACACAACAGACUCCUUGCUGUCUCUCUCUGCCCAGGGAGGUUGCAUCCCGUCCUGAGGGCUGAGGAGCUCCCAGUAUUGAGGGAUGCAGGGCUGGGUACAUAUGCUCUCAAUCUCUU
ensembl:lncRNA